CGCAAGUAGAGUGGCGAACGGGUGAGUAAUACAUCGGAACAUAUCCAGUAGCGGGGGAUAACCUGUCGAAAGAUAGGCUAAUACCGCAUACGAUCUACGGAUGAAAGCGGGGGACCGCAAGGCCUCGCACUAUUGGAGUGGCCGAUGUCGGAUUAGCUAGUUGGUGGGGUAAUGGCCUACCAAGGCAACGACGGGUAGCUGGUCUGAGAGGAUGAUCAGCCACACUGGGACUGAGACACGGCCCAGACUCC
rnacentral:rRNA from 1 species